GAGUUUGAUCCUGGCUCAGAUUGAACGCUGGCGGCAGGCCUAACACAUGCAAGUCGAGCGGUAACAGAGAGUAGCUUGCUACUCUGCUGACGAGCGGCGGACGGGUGAGUAAUGCUUGGGAAUGUACCUUAUGGUGGGGGACAACAGUUGGAAACGACUGCUAAUACCGCAUAAUGUCUUCGGACCAAAGCGGGGGACCUUCGGGCCUCGCGCCAUAAGAUCAGCCCAAGUGGGAUUAGGAGGGUGCGAGCGUUAAUCGGAAUUACUGGGCGUAAAGCGUACGCAGGCGGUUUGUUAAGCGAGAUGUGAAAGCCCCGGGCUCAACCUGGGAACUGCAUUUCGAACUGGCAAACUAGAGUGUGAUAGAGGGUGGUAGAAUUUCAGGUGUAGCGGUGAAAUGCGUAGAGAUCUGAAGGAAUACCGAUGGCGAAGGCAGCCACCUGGGUCAACACUGACGCUCAUGUACGAAAGCGUGGGGAGCAAACAGGAUUAGAUACCCUGGUAGUC
rnacentral:rRNA from 1 species